rnacentral:rRNA from 1 species
CGCUCUUUGUGGUAUAGAAAUAAAGAGUCGUACCUGCCCAGUGAAUGUUUAAACGGCCGCAGUACCCUGACUGUGCAAAGGUAGCAUAAUCAUUUGCCUUUUAAUUGGAGGCUGGAAUGAAUGGUUUGACGUAGUCCAACUGUCUCUUUUUUAUUAGCUAAAAUUUAAUUUUUAGGUGAAGAAGCCUAAAUGGAGUCGAAAGACGAAAAGACCCUGUCGAACUUAAAAGUGUUCUUAGGAUUGGUUGAUUUAGUAGAGUAAAAUUUUUCUAGGGUUCUUUUUUGUUGGGGUGACAUAAGAACAUAAAAAGCUUCUUUAGAUUGAGUUGAAACUAAUUGGUUAAAGGAAUCCGCAAAAUCGUUGCGAAUUAAGCUAAGUUACCGCAGGGAUAACAGCGUUAUUUUUUCGGAGAGUUCUAAUCGAAGAAAAAGAUUGCGACCUCGAUGUUGGAUUGGAAGACCUAGUAGGCGAAGAAGCUUAUUUAUGGGGGUCUGUUCGACCCUUAAAUUUCCACA